UCUUCUCCUCUCGACACCUAACUGUAAUUAAUUUAAUAAUAUCGAAGCAGAAACCAAAACAGAAACGAAGAAGCACAACAAUUCACAGUUCACCGAACCACAAAAAAAAACAAAAGAACGAAGAAACGCGGUGGCGGUUGCGGUUGCGGUGGCAGUGGCGGAGAAGGGAAAGAGUACUUUGAGCGUCUGCCUCUUCCCCACACUUUUUGUUUUUGCCAACGAAAAAUCAGAAACCAAAGCGCGCUGCUCGAAGCGAAACGAACGAAUGAGCGGCGACGCGACGCCGUCUCCGCUGGUAGAGUAUUGUAUUGGCCUGACAGCGGCGCUGGCAGUGGCAGCACCAGCAGCAGGUGGUCGAGACAUCAGCAGCGACGAUAAAGGACAAAUAUGAUAUGCAAAGUGCAACAAUGGCAAAAAUUUAAACGCAUAAUGCGUGCUCAAUGAACAAACAAAUUACGUACAAUUUGCAAAUUCAAUAAAGACGACUGACCGACGAACGUAAACAGAAGUAGCUAAAGCAGAAAAUGAAGAAGAAAAAGUAAGAGCAAAAUUAAAUACAUUGGAUAACAUUAA
rnacentral:sRNA from 1 species